rnacentral:rRNA from 1 species
UACAGAGGUCUCAAGCGUUGUUCGGAUUCAUUGGGCGUAAAGGGUGCGUAGGUGGCGGGGCAAGUCUGGUGUGAAAUCCCGGGGCUCAACCCCGGAACUGCACUGGAUACUGCCUUGCUAGAGCACUGGAGAGGGAACUGGAAUUUACGGUGUAGCAGUGAAAUGCGUAGAUAUCGUAAGGAAGACCAGUGGCGAAGGCGAGUUUCUGGACAGUUACUGACGCUGAGGCACGAAGGCCAGGGGAGCAAACGGG